rnacentral:lncRNA from 1 species
CGACGCUUCCCCAGCUGUUAAAGAUGUUGCUCCUGUUGAUUAGGAUCAGGGUGGGGUGAUGAUGUAUUUGAACAAUGGCCUUGUAUUCCUCUCUCUUUUUUUUUUGAAUAAAUAAACAUUUGUUUUGAUUUUCUGUUUUUUUAUUUUUUUUUGCGAGUUAUUUCAUACUUAGGAAAUUUUUAGAAAUUUUUGUCUGCGAACUUUGGUUUUACAGUUAGAGCUUUACUCUCGUCAACUAUGUUGGAGGUCGCGGUUCUUCACCUAAGAAC